AAGCGACUAAGCGUACACGGUGGAUGCCCUGGCAGUCAGAGGCGAUGAAGGGCGUGCUAAUCUGCGAUAAGCGCCGGUAAGGUGAUAUGAACCGUUAUAACCGGCGAUACCCGAAUGGGGAAACCCAGUGUGAUUCGUCACACUAUCAUUAACUGAAUCCAUAGGUUAAUGAGGCGAACCGGGGGAACUGAAACAUCUAAGUACCCCGAGGAAAAGAAAUCAACCGAGAUUCCCCCAGUAGCGGCGAGCGAACGGGGAGGAGCCCAGAGCCUGAAUCAGCAUGUGUGUUAGUGGAAGCGUCUGGAAAGGCGCGCGAUACAGGGUGACAGCCCCGUACACAAAAGCGCAUGUGCUGUGAGCUCGAUGAGUAGGGCGGGACACGUGGUAUCCUGUCUGAAUAUGGGGGGACCAUCCUCCAAGGCUAAAUACUCCUGACUGACCGAUAGUGAACCAGUACCGUGAGGGAAAGGCGAAAAGAACCCCGGCGAGGGGAGUGAAAAAGAACCUGAAACCG
rnacentral:rRNA from 1 species